rnacentral:rRNA from 1 species
CGCGAAAAGCAAGCUACACAUGCAGUCGAGCGGUAGAGAGAAGCUUGCUUCUCUUGAGAGCGGCGGACGGGUGAGUAAUGCCUAGGAAUCUGCCUGGUAGUGGGGGAUAACGUUCGGAAACGGACGCUAAUACCGCAUACGUCCUACGGGAGAAAGCAGGGGACCUUCGGGCCUUGCGCUAUCAGAUGAGCCUAGGUCGGAUUAGCUAGUUGGUGGGGUAAUGGCUCACCAAGGCGACGAUCCGUAACUGGUCUGAGAGGAUGAUCAGUCACACUGGAACUGAGACACGGUCCAGACUCCUACGGGAGGCAGCAGUGGGGAAUAUUGGACAAUGGGCGAAAGCCUGAUCCAGCCAUGCCGCGUGUGUGAAGAAGGUCUUCGGAUUGUAAAGCACUUUAAGUUGGGAGGAAGGGCAGUUGCCUAAUACGUAACUGUUUUGACGUUACCGACAGAAUAAGCACCGGCUAACUCUGUGCCAGCAGCCGCGGUAAUACAGAGGGUGCAAGCGUUAAUCGGAAUUACUGGGCGUAAAGCGCGCGUAGGUGGUUUGUUAAGUUGGAUGUGAAAUCCCCGGGCUCAACCUGGGAACUGCAUUCAAAACUGACUGACUAGAGUAUGGUAGAGGGUGGUGGAAUUUCCUGUGUAGCGGUGAAAUGCGUAGAUAUAGGAAGGAACACCAGUGGCGAAGGCGACCACCUGGACUGAUACUGACACUGAGGUGCGAAAGCGUGGGGAGCAAACAGGAUUAGAUACCCUGGUAGUCCACGCCGUAAACGAUGUCAACUAGCCGUUGGGAGCCUUGAGCUCUUAGUGGCGCAGCUAACGCAUUAAGUUGACCGCCCUGGGGAGUACGGCCGCAAGUUAAAACUCAAAUGAAUUGACGGGGGCCCGCACAGCGAUGAAGCAAUGUGGAUUAGUCGUAGCAAACGGCGAAGAAACCUUAACCCACAGGGCC